AUAUAUAUAUAUGUUGUUUUCUCUGGAUAUAUUGUAAGCCCAUUUUGUCUUUAUAUUCUCAGCUCCUAGUAAAAUAUCUCACAUAUAUAGUGAAUGCUUAUGUAAUGUAUUGUCUCUUUAAGGUUUGUUGUUGAGCUAUGUCAUACAGAGUUCUAAAAAAACAGUUUCUCUAAGAUACAGUUGCUGGGGAUUGAGUCUGACUCAGAGAUCUAUGACAAGCCAUUGUUACUGAGUUUUGAAUGUGACAAGCUGUUAUAUACUGGAAGGGUAUGGCCACUAGUACUGUUGUAUGAUUUUUCAGCAAACAUAAUUUGUCUGAUUUCAGAAGGAAAUGUAAAAUUGAUUAACCACCAUAAGAUAAGAUAUAGUUCUUUGCAGUGAGGAGUCAGAAUCUGAACCCAUAAAAAUAAGAAAAGAGAUAAAAAGACAGAUUUCAGAACUGCAUCAAGUAAACUUAAAAGUUUGAAGGGAUAGAUACUAUAGUUGCUUUUGAGGAGUAAGUUUAGCUGAGCAAAGGAAGAGCUUGGAAGCAGAAAAUCAGAGAAAUUACCCAACAUGUCAAACACAGUGAAGAUUAAGUUAGCUUAGCAGUAGAAUCAUAUAUCUUUAGCACAGAAGGUACAUUCAUCAAGAAUCAUUUAUGGACAGUUCCUGAGACAGAAAAAGGACACUGAACUUUAUGGUUCCAAAGUUGUGGAGCACAUGUUUUCUUCACUCAUGUUCCUUCUUGACAGGUUUCUAUUUGUAGGUGCCUAUUCUCCCCAACUAAUACUGAAUAUAUUAUUAACAAAAUAUAUGACCCAGUGAUUAUGAGUGAAUUGUAAUAUAUUUUUAUUUAUGCAUUUACUUUAAUACAUGAGUAGCUGUGAUAUUUUUUCUUUUUGCUUUAAUACUAAGUUAAUGGUAAAGUUUAAGAUCUAAUGGUCUUAUUUGAGUGGCUGGUUGUAUAAAAAGAAACACACUGGUAAGUGAUCAGAACUACAGUGACAAGUAGGGAGAGUAUAUUCUACUACAAGAGGGUUACCUGUACAACACUAAGAGAAUUUUGACUGAUAUCAUUGGGAGAUAGUUCUUCUUUGGGAAUCAAAUUAUAUUAAUUUGAGGGCAGGAUGGAGUGAAUGGGCCAACCUUGAGAAUGAAUAAGUGUCUAUGAGAUAUGUGAGGACUUAUAAUAUGGGUAGACCACCAUAUAUAAUUAUUAAGUAAAUGCUUGCUGAUUGAUUAAUUGGUAAAUAAUUGUUUCAUAGAAAUUUCAUCUGCCUGAAAUAAUUAAAUAUGGUUCUGGAAGUCAAAAGGACUUUUAGACUAAAUAGCCUUAGAGGGUCUCUAUAACUCCGCCAUUAGAAUCCUAGGAAACAUAUCUGUUCUAAAUCUUCCCCACAUAUCACUUUUAUUUCUUUUAUUGAGUGGCAGCUAGCUAGAUGGCUCCGUGAAUAGAAUGCUAGAUCUAGAAUCAGAAAAACAUGAUUUCAAAUCUUUCCUCAGACAAUUACUAGCCCCUUAACCUUUGUCUGUCUCAGUUACUUCAUCUAUAAAACGAAGAUAAAAAUGGUAUCUGUCUUCUAAAUUUGUUGUGAGGAUACAAUGAGAUAAUAUUUGUAAAAUACUUCACAACUCUUAAAGCAUUAUAUAAAUGCUAUUAUUAUCAGCUCUUAUCAUGCCAUUCACAUGAACAUUCAGUGGCUCCCUAUCUCUCAUCGUAUCAAGUUUAAAUCUUUCUACUUGGCUUUCAAAGUCAUGCCCUCUCUAGUCUCAGCCUACCAAGCCAAGUGCCUCUCAACAUUCAUAUCUACCUUCAGCAAGAAUGAGCUCUAUUUCUAGAACAUACUUUGCUCAUUCCUGCUUUGAUGCUUUUGCUAAUGUUAUUAUCCUUGCCUGGAAACUAGUUCCCUCACCCCCCCUUCUCCUCUGCCUAUGGAAAUCCUAUACAGUUGAAUGCCAUAUAGGCAGUAUAAUUUUAUAAUUAAUGUGGAGCUUUCCCUUUUCUGAACUUCCAAUGUCCUUGUAAUCAAUGCCUGUUGUUCUUGUUGUUGAGCCAUGAAAACACAACCUAAAUGACUUGCUGAGGUUUACAUAGCUAGUAAGUUUUUGAGACCAAAUUUGAACUCAGGUCUUCUUGAUUCCAAGACUGCAUCCACUGCAUUACCUAGUUGCCUUGUAGUCACUACUAUGUAGCUUAAAUGCUCUUUCAUAUGUUUUAUUUGCUUCCCCAACUAGAUUAUAAGCUCCUUGAGUGCUAGGGCUACCUGAAUCUCAGUUGCUUCACCUGUAAAAUGAGGGUGUUAGACCAUAACCUCUAACCUUUUCUAGCUGCACAAUUUUAUAAAUAUGUAACAUUUUCUAAAUUGUUGUGAAAAGUGCCCUAUUCUUGAUCUAAUGAUCUAGAGUCUACAAUCCACUCAAAUUGUCCUCCUUGUUAUACAUGAUGUUCCAAAAUGUAAAUCUCUGUACCUUCAAACAAGCUGCUGCUCAUGUCUGGAAUGAAAUCCUUCUUUACCUCUAUUCUCUUAAAAUCUCUAUUUUCCUUUUAAGGUCAGCUCAGACACCACCUCCUAAACAGAGGUCUUCUAGAACUCUCAGCUACUGGUGUUCCCUUCCACCUCCAAAUUCCUAAUUUGUUUUAAAUAUACACAUAUGUACACAUACACACUCUAUAUACUUACAUAGGAUGUAAGCUACUUAAAGGUAGAAGUUGUUUCUUUUUUAAAACCUGUUUUCUCAGUGCCUAGCAGAGUGCUUGGCAGAUAAUGGGUAUUAAUUAUGGUCUUAAUUUAAAAAUAAUAACUUUUUAUUUUCAAAAUAUAUGCAAAGAUAGUUUUCAAUCUUCACCCUUGCAAAACCUUGUGUUCCAAUUUUUUCUCUUUCUCUUCCCCAACCCCCUCCUCUAGAUAACAAGUAAUCCAAUAAAUAUGUGCAAUUCUACACAUUUCCACAGAUAAUGGGCAAUUAAUAAAUGAUUAACUGAUAAUUGCAGCUUGGGCAGAUCUCUUUCCCUCUUUGGUCCUCAGAUUCAUCUUUAGUAAAAUGGUGCUCUUUAGCAUCUUCUCCAGUUUUAAGGAACUAUGAUUCUUUGAGAAGUACUACAGCAAGAAGAAUGUGGUACUAACCUUUCUGCUCCAGACCUCUCUCUGCCUUUCUUCACCCACAAAAAUGGCCUCUAAAGAACCUUAUAACUCAAAAUAUUGCACAACAAUGUUAGUUCAUAUCUGUUAGGUUUUAUGUUAUGGUCUUAAUACCUUCAUUUUCAAUUCAACAAAUAUAAUUAUGUUCAAGACAUAGUGCUGGUCACACAGAAUACAAAGAAUGAAAAAUGAUAGGAUCUUUGUUCUCAAAGAACAGAGGGAACAUAAUGAACACAUAUAAGUAUAAUGAGUAGAAUGAAAGUAGGGUCAGGGUAUGCUGGUGCCAUCUCAAACUGGCUUAUUAAGAACCAAUUGCUAAAUUUUCAGGGUAAGCAUUUACAUUUUGGAAAUCAGAAAAAAUUACAAAUCAGGACUUCAUUUAUGUUUGGUUGAUUGUCUAGACUUAAAGUGAUGGUGAAAACAUUUAUAAUUUGUCUGAUUAAACUAAAAAGUGUAUUGUGUAUUUUUGGAAAGCUGGUGUUAAAACAUUUACCAGGACAUCUCUGGGAAAAUAUAAUAGAAGCAAAAAAGAGAGCCAAACAAAAUUUAAGCAUUAAUUUGAGAAAAAGAAUAUAGUUUCAGUGGAGAAGUGGCACCUGAGCUAGCCUUGAAAAAAAGGGUUUCAAUGGGUAAAAAAAGAUAUUCCAGGAACAGGAGAAGAUCUAUAUAAAUUCAUAGUGGCAAGAGAAAAUUGGAGACCCAGUUUAGUUUAGCUGGAACAUAGAACAUGAGAAUGUAGGAAAGAAACUACUAUGUUCCAGGUACUGUGCUAAGCACUUUACAAACAUCAUCUCAUUUCAUCCUCAUAACAAUCCUGGGAGCUAUUAUAAUCUCAUUUGAAAUUGAGGUAAAGUUUAAAUGACUUGUCUAGGAUUACAAAGAUUGUAGGUGUCUGUAGGCAGCUAGGUGAUACAGUUGAUAGAAUACAAGGCCUGGAAUCAGGAAGAAUCCUCUCGCUAAGUUCAAAUCCAGUCUCAGAUAGUUUCUAGCUAUGUGAUCUUGGACAAGUCAGCCCUAUUUGCCUCAGUUUCCUCAUCUGUCAAAUAAGCUGGCGAAGAAAAUGGCAAGCUACUCCAGUAUUUUUGCCAAGAAAACUCCAAAUGGGAUCACAAAGAUGUGACUGAAACAAUUGAACAUUAAUAACAAAAGUGUCUGAGGCUGAAUUGAAUUCAGGACUUUCUGACUCUAGGUCCAGCAUUCUGUUCACUGUACCACUUAGGUGAGAAAAGUUAAAAAGGGAGAAUUGGAGUCAUGUUGUGCCACAACAUGGCCAGGCCAAGGCAUGUAUAUUAUAUUUUAUGGGCAAUAGGAAGCUCCUAUUUUUGUCAUCUUGGUAGCUAUGUGAAAGACUGACUUUGAAAGAAGUCACAAUGAAAGAAAGACACAAGGGAGGCCUGGAAGUAGAGAGGCCCCUCAGGAGGUUGUUACAAUGGCCAAGGCAAGAGGAUGAGGCUCUAAAGGAGGGUGGUGGCAAUUUGAAGGGAGAAAAAGGGAGCACAUGUUAGAGGUGAGAUAGAUGCAAGGCAUAUAGAAUUUAUAGGUCUUGGCAGUUAGCUAGGUAUGGGGGAUCAGUAAGAGGAAGAAUCAAAGAUGAUGUUGAGGUUUUGAGCCUGGGCCAUUGGGGAGGAAAAGUGGUACCUACACUAGAAACAGCCAAGUUUGGAGCACAGGGAGAUGUAGGGGAAAGCGGAUGAGUUCUGCCUUGGACAUUCUGAGUUUGCUGUGCUGGUGAAACGCCAAGGUCGAGGUGUCCAAGAGACAUUCGGAGGUGGAGACCUUUCAGGAGAAAGAUUGGAACCAGAUUUCCAGAAAUGGGAAUCAGCUGCAGCGCGGUGAUUACUGAACCUGUGGGAACAGAGGAGAUCACUGAGCCUGCAGAGAGAAAGGAGGGCCCAGGGUGGAGCCAAGGGGUGACUCUGAAGGAGCUACACAAGCAGGAGGCCCAUUCAGAGAGAGCUCUGUGUGCCAACCCCUGGAGGAGAGAAUUUAGAGGGGGCAGGAUGUUUGACAGCAUCAGACAGUAGAGAAAAGCCAAAAGAACAUCAGAAUCCUUCAUAUGUGAGGAUUGUGGGAUCCUACAAUUACAGGGUCAGGGCUAGAAGAGGCUUUAGAGCUGGGUAGAGCCUAGAAGACCCGAGUUCAAACCUUGCCUCUAUAUGACCUGGGUAAGUCACUUAAUCUCCAUCUGCCUUAGUUUCACCAUGUGAAAAAAUGGGGAUAAUAAAAGUACCUACCUGUUGGGAGGAUCAAAUGAAAUAACAGUUACUUGUUAAGCAGCAUAUAAGUGUCUGUUACAGACAGCAGAGGAGAAGCCAAGCUCCAGGGUGACCCAGGGGCCGAGCUGGGACUGGGACACACACUCCCUGCCUCUGAUACCAGCCGAUGGCUGUGCUUUGGGAUGGAGGUUUCUGAGAGCCCUACACACAGCUCCUCUUUUGCCCUCCGAGGAAGAAUAGCAUAGAACCUUGCUGCCAUAGAGGGCCCGCCUCUUCAGCCAGGUAUGAGGCUUUGUCAGAACUCCCCGAGGGAAGAGGAGGAGAGAAGAGGAAACCUGUGGUGGUGGUCAGAUCAGGCUCACCAGCUCCCCACAAAGCCUGGUGACUCAUGGGUUGCCUACGUCACAGUUAGAUAAUGGCUCCCACCCUAAAAAUAGAUUGCAUCGCAUCACCCACACUCUUGGGCCUGGCUCCUCCCUUCUGGCCUGUGACUACCGGAGAGGGGUCUACUUCAGAGCCCCUGGACCCUCCAGGAACAUACCUGGGACCUUGGACCCUUUCACUGGUUCAGCUCAUCUUGCUAUUGAUUGUGAUUUUUAGAACAGUCACCACUGAAGAGAUGUUUAGUUCUUUAAAAGCAGUUUUCAUUAUCUUUUAUGGAUCUCACAGUGGGAAAAAGGAGGGAGAAAAGAAAGACAAGAGAUGAGAUGUUUCCCCCUUGACCAUAUUGCUUUGUUCAAGUAUAAAUAUUCACAAUCAAGUCUCAAGAAGCCAGCAUGAGUUGGUUCCAGAAUACCUUUGGUUGGAAGGGACAUCAGGAGGCCAUCUAGUUGAAUCCAUAGGCAAAAGAAAUUCCCUACUAUAAAAUGCCAAUCUAGCCUUUGCUUGAAGACCUCCAAUAAAGCCAAAUUCAUCACCCCCAAGGCAAAUAAUUCUAUUUUUGUACAACCUUAAUUAUUAGGAAGUUUCACUGGCUACCAAGUCUAAAUAUGUUUGUUUUCAAUGUUUGUCCAAUACUCUUUAAGUUUUCUGGGGCCAAACAAAAUAAUUCUCUUCCUUUUUUUCCCCCACAUGAUAGGCCUCAAAUACUUUAUCAUAGCUAUCAUGAUACCCUCUGAAUCUUAUCUUAUGAUUAGAUAUCACAAGUUCUGUUAACUGAUCCCCAUAUGCUAAGUAUUUAAGGUCCUUCACCACUCUGAUUGCCCUUCUUUGGACACUCUCCAAAUUUCAGUGCUUUUUAAAAAUUGUGAUACUCAGAACUGAACACAAUACAUGUGGCCUGACAGAGUACAGUGGGACUAUCACUUUCUUAUUUCUGAAAGCUAUGUCUCUCUUAAUGCAGGCCAAGAUUCCAUUUUUUUUUUUUUUUUUAGCUUUUGACAUCACACUGCUGACUGAUGUUGAGCUUGCAAUCCGCUAAAAAGAAACCUGGAUCUUUUUCAGACAACUUGAUGUCCAAUCAUUUCCCUUAUUCUGAACUUGUGAAGUUGAUUUUUUGUACCCAAGUGUCAAACUUUACAUUUAUGCCUACUAAAUUUUAUAUUGUUUGAUUUAGCCCAAUACUCUAGGUCAACAUCUUUUUGGAUCCUGACUCUACCAUUCAGUGUAUUAGCUGUCCUUUCUAGCUUUGUGUCAUUUGAAAAUUUGAUGAACAUUUCAUCUAUACUUUUAUUCAAAAUCUGAUAAAAAAUAUUAAAUAGGGCUGAAAACAAUUCCUCUGGUACUUCAUUGAAGACCUCUAGCCAACUUAACAUUGAACCAUUAAUGACUAUUCCUUGAAGCCAGCUAAUCAAUCAGUUCUAAAUUAACUUAAUUAUAUUACCUAUUCCGUAUCUUUCCAUCUUUUCUAUAGAUACAUUUUGUCAAAUCAUUUGAUAAAAUCUAAGCAAACUAUAUCUCUAGCAUUCCUCUAAUGUACUAAAUUUAAUAAUCUUGUCAAAAAAAAUAAAGGUAGUUUGACUAUUCAUUAUCGCUUUAAUGAUCUAUUCUAGAAUUUUCCCAGGAAUUUGCAAGUCAAGCUCAGGGAACAUCCAGAGGAAAUAAUUCUAUUUCCUUUUGUGAAAAUUGGGACAUUUGCCUUUCUUCAGUUCAGCCCAACCUUUCUCAUUUUCUACAAUCUUUUAAAUAUCACUAAUAGACUUCUCUCAUAUUUCUCACAAUUCUCUUUUUCUCCAGGCUAAAUAUUCCCAAUUCCUUUAACUGUUUCUCUAUUUCUACAGUGUCAUAAUUAUCAUUGCCAUGAUAAUCACCAUUAUGUAGUGAGGCUGUAGAUUUUGGGGGUCCUUAUAACCAAAAUUUCUAUUCCCACUGGUAAACUGGGUUCUCAAAGGGAAGAUAGCUACACCCAUCCCUCUGUGUACCAAGGAGUUGGAAUAUAUUUCUAAUGCUACUAACUCAAGUCCUCAUUUCAGUGUGUUCACUCUGCCCCCAUCCCAGUGCAUGGCCAUCAAUUUAUCUAGUUAACUGGUGUUUUAGCUUUUUAUAAAGGAUUGAAAAGCUAUAGUAAGAAUAGAAGUACAAGCACAACCCUCUCUUGCUAUUCAAGGCACACUCUACUCUCAAUGACUUUGUUCCCCAGGGAGAGUGAGCUUAAAUUUGAACAGGUUGUUGUAAACCAUUCAGCCUACCAACUUUAUAUAUUCAACUUCUUCUUGAAUCUUCUCUUCUCCAAGUUAUAUGUCAACAAUUCACUUAUGACAUGAACUCAAAACCAUUCACUAUUCUGGAUAAUAAUAAUAUGUACUAGUAUUUGCAUCAUACACCUCUUUGGCAAUAUGGUAAAACCUAUUGACCCCAUCUCAGAAAUUUUUUUUAAAUUCAUAAUUAAAGGAAAUGCUAAAUAUUAGAGGUUAGCAAAAAUAAAGAUGUAUUUUUUCCUCAAAUAAGUUUAUGGAUCACUUGAAAUCUACCCACAAACUACUAAGGUCAAGAACCAGCUUAAGAACACUUAUAUUAGUUUUAGUUUUAUUUUGUUUUGUUUUGUUUUGUUUUGUUUUGUUUUGUUUUUCAAUUGCCAAGAUCACACUGCUGAUCUAUAGUGGACUCCCAGUACACUGGAAUCCAAAUAUUUUUCAGAACAAUUGCUCUCUAACCAUGCUUUCUCCAUCUUACAUUUGUGAAGUUAAUUUUUGUCCCAAGAUCAAGAUUUUACAUUUAUUCAUAUUUAGUAUUCCUCUUCUUAGAUUCAGUCUACUGUUCAAUCCUAUCAAGAUACCUUUGGAUGCUGACUUUUCCAUCUACUGUGUUAGCGCUCUCUCUCUCUCUCUCUCUCUCUCUCUCUCUCUCAUCUUGGAAACAUAUAGCAUCUAUGCCUUAAUCCAGGUCAUUAGCAAAAAUGUUAAAUAGCUUAGGGCUAAAUAGCUUAGGGCUAAGUACCGAUCCCUGGAAAAUUCUGCUAAAAACUUCUUGCCACACUGACAUAGAACCAUCAAUAACUACUCUUUGAUUUCAGCCAUCCAACCAGUUUUGAAUCCAUCUAAUUAUAUUAUUGUCUAAUUCAUCUCUCUCCAGAUUUUCUAUGAGAAUAGCAUGAAGAACUUUCUCAAAGACUUGCCAAAUAUAAUAAAGGCCCAAUUAGUCAAUGAGAGCCCAAUUCUUAUGGAAAUCAGGACAACACUGGCCUUUCUCCAGUCUUGUACCUUUACUAUAAUUUUCCAUGAUUUUUCAAAUAUCAUUUGCAACAGCACAUCUGCUAGUUCUUUCAGGAGCUGAGGAUAUAGUUCACCUGGACUGGGUGACUUAAAUUCAUCAAGGGCAGCCAGCUGCUCUCUUCUUAGCUCUUUGUUUUGGGUACCAACUUCCCAUUAGUAAUUUGUGUCAUCAUUUCCAUGGUAAAGGUCAUUUUAUUUUGUAGAAAAAACAGAAACAAAUAAUAACUGAGCAGCUCUGACUUCUCUCCAUUAUCAGUUAUAAUUAUCCCAUCCACCCCAAGCAAAAGCUCUGUACAAUUUUUGAUCCUCCUUCUCCCCAAUAUAACAAAAACAAAACGAGACAAAUACAUAACAAAACAAAAUCAUCAAAUUACAAAAGCACCUUUUGUUUUCCUUCAUUUUUCUCACCAAUUCUAGUUCAUCCUGAAUUUAGCAUUCCUCAGACUAUUUUUACAGGAUCAUGCCAUGCUCUUAUAUUCAUCUUCUGUUACUUGGCUGUGCUUUUUUUUUUCUUCUAUACGAUUCUUUAAAAAAUCUAAAUGGUGAUGUUCUUGUAUCUCUCUAGAUAAAUCCCAGUUUUCCUCUUCAUGAGAAUUGUUUCUCUUUAUGUUUUCCACAUCUCUCAUCCCCUGAAGGAGAAUUCUAUCUUUUCUCUGAACACUCUGAAGUCUGCUCUCCCCAAAAUCUAAGGUGAAUGGAUGAUUAUGUUAAGAUUUUACCUACUUCCUCAUCAUAAACUCUAGAAUGGAUUGGUCACUUCAUCUCCAUGUUCCCAUUAUUUCUACCUCAGUAACCAGUUUUUUUUUCUGUUUGUGAGAUCAGAUAGAGAAUAGUGUUUGCCCCUUGUUAGUUCCUCCCCUUUGGGAGAUAUAAAAUUAUCAUUAAGGAAAGUAAGGAAAUCAUUAGUGCUCUGGUUUGGGAAGAGAGAGCUCCAGUAUGUUUCUAGAUAAUUGAAACCCCUUAUCACUCUUAUACUGUACUGGAUCUGUGAUCUGUUUCUCAAACUUCCCAUCUAUUUCCUGUUUCUUCCAGAUGGUUUUUAGUAUAUUCCAAUGACAAAAUCAUUUCUGUUCUCCUCCUUUGACCUUCACCCAAAUACUCUUUGUCAUGCUUUCCCACUUUGAUUCCCGGGAUUUCCUCAGCUGAAUAUAUUGUCCUAAUAAAGAGCAUUACUCCCACCCUCCAUCCCCAAUUACCUAUCCUACCUCUUUUGAAUAAACUAUACCUUUCUAGGACCACAGUUUUGUCAUGGGUUUUAUCCUACCAAGUCUCACUGAAAUCUAUGAAGUCUGAUUGCUUCCUUUAGUUCCUAUUUUUUGGUUGUUGCUUAAACUUUGGACAUUUAUGUAUGUAUUUGAGGCUAUGGGUUUUAUUACUAGCUCCUUUCUUGGGUUUUUAUAUUCUGUGAGUUUAUAUAUAGGUAUCCCACUUGCUUUUUUUUUUCUUCUUUGUAGAGUAGUAGUCUCUAUGGUAUAUAUAGAGUAGUCUUUAUGGUAUCUAACCUGGGGGAUAUACAUAUAUACUCAUACACACACACAUAUAUGUGAAUAUAUAUUUGUGUAUACAUACACACACACAGAGGAAAAGCAACAGAGACAGCCAGAGAGAGACAGAGAAAGAUACACACACACACAUAUACACACACAGAGACAGAGAGACAGAGAAAGAAAGUCAGAGACAAAGGAAGACAGAAAGGCAGUAAAUCAGACUUGGACAGACAGAGAGAAGCAGCCCUUUCCAAAUCUUGUUACUUUAAAGGCUUUUGAUUAAAUUCCCAAGACACCUUACAAAUAUAUUCUUAUCAGUCUUUGUUAGGUAAAACUGUCUCUGGCCAGAAAUCUGCCAUUUUAAGCCAUGAUCCAAUAUUCUGAAUCCUAUUCUCAGACACCACCUUCCUAGCCAGCUGUUCACUUCCCAAAUUACUUUUUCUCUUCUGCAUCCCUUCUCUUCAAUGAGCAAAAAUGGGGAAAACACAACCUGUGCCCUUAUGGUCUUUGGUUUCUUGCCCAAGACUUUGUAAUCAUUGGCAAUACUUUCUAGAUUCCUUCUGGAAGAGCCAUUUGUGCCCAUGUGAAUUACCAAAAGUAGGGAGUCAUCAUUCAUCUUUGGAGAUUCCCUAUUAUACCUUGGAUACACUCCCUAGGAAAACAAUGGACCCCUCUCUCAUUAUUAGGUCAGUAAAUAGCUGCCUGGUACAUCACCAACUACUACUUUCCUCUUCUUCCUCUGAUCCUUACUAGCUAAUCUCUCAUCUCAUGGUUUCUGUGAUUCUUCUAUAUCAUUCUCAGGGGGAACAACCAGCUUCUUCCUCCAUAGAGCAUCCAGCUCUCUCCUAAAGAGGAAUCUGUUUUUAAGCCCUUUUGUACAGAUGUCCUUCUCAUUCUCUUUCUCCUUUUUAUAACACUCAUUUUUUCAUUCUCCAUCAUUUUGCAGCAUAGAACAGUAUUUGGAUUGAAAGGAUGUGAGACUAAAUCCUUGGCUGUACUACUCACUACCUCAUAUGAACUUGAACAAAUUAUUCAACCUCUCUGAUGGUCAAACCUCCUUUUUGCCCCUCAGAAUCCAUUCCCUUUCUCACCCCCCCCCCCCACCAUUAAAGCUUGUUUCUGUUUCCUCCCUAACAACCUAGAGAAGGAGAAACAUUCUUCUAAUCCUUUCACCUCUUCUAAGAGGGAGACAAACUUAUAUCUGUAUAGUCCUCAGUCUCUCCUCUCACCUUUCUCCUUAAGGUUUCCUGUAUCUACAGUGUCAACUCCUUAUUAGUGACGCAGAUAAGUCACUCAUUUAUAGCAGAAACACAAACAUCAAUACUUGGUCUCAGACAGAGGCUUCUAGAAUUUGCACUUGUCUAAUCUAGUUUUUUUUUUUUUUUUUUUUUUGGAAAUCCAUGGUCACCUGCACUUCAUGUAUAAUUAACUAUUUUACAAGUGAGGAAACUAAGGUUCAGAAAGUUAAUGAUUUUCCAUGGUCACAAAACUAAUAAAUAGCAAA